rnacentral:lncRNA from 1 species
GGGAACUUCCUGCCAAGCGUGAGAACGCUGCGAACUUCCCGGAGGCCAAAAGUUGAGGGGGCUGAGCGGAGCGUGAUUGGGGAGGGGCGGGCCUGGGAGACCUUGGGCGCCUCCUCUGAAAGCCUCUUGUGAGGAUUUCUUUCCCAUGCACUGAGUCGGGGCCUCCAGAGCCGCAGUGCAGGGCAGUCGAGGGUCCGCUGCAGGGCGGAGGUCACAGCCGCGCAAGUCGUCAGUCUCCGGUGCAGGGCUGCCGCUGAGUCUUCAAGAGCGAGUUUUAUUAUGGACAGGCGUGUGUUUAUUCCUCCUCCUUUUUUCCUGCUUAUGUUUCUCUUGUCCACGGUGGGUGAGGUUCGUGGUAAUAAGGACUUGAUAAGUGUAUUAUGAGAUAACCACUGAAUGAAUUUGCACAAUAGACGUGCGUGCCCUUCAUCUGCCGCGUCAUUUACUUGCUUUCAAAGGACUUUAUUAUUCACCUGCCCAUUCAUUUUCACUUAGUCCCACUUAUCGUCAGCUUUUUAAAGAGGUGGAGUGAUUCCGUGUUACAGCAACCUACAGCCCAACAAAGCCUUCAGAUAUCUGCCUCCAGGAGUCCAACCCUCAUCCCUUUCCAAAGAACUGGUAGCGGAUAGGUGCCAGCAAUACCGACAUUUAUUGGCACAAUGCUUUGCACUUUUCAAAAGACCUGUUCACAGCUCAACGGAGAAAUAAAUAUGAGGGAAUAAACACAACCAAGACAGUCCUGGGAAUGCAAGGGCUAAACGCUCAAUCUGAGAACUGCCACUACCUAACUGGUUUGGGCAGCGUCUACUAAGUGGUAUUUCACUGUUGAGAGAGGUGAUAUAUUAGAAGUACGAAACUUCUAAUUUAUUCAUAAAAAAUAAAAUGGUAAAAAAUGGGAACCCUUAUCAAGGUUAAAAUAUCCUUAGGUCAUCUAAUCGAAACUGUUAAGUAUAAACAUUCUUAGAAAAUAACGUUUGCAUUGCCUCUCUCUUUUCAUCUCUUAGCACGAUAACAAAUGCAGAGUGAGUGGAAGAAUGAAAUGACUCUUCAAACAUCAGGAAGCAAAAAUAGUUUUUUGCUACUUAAAGGCUCCACCUAAUUAUCUCAGUUCUUUUCACUUUGUGUAUUCAAGCUACACAACUUUAUACAAUCGUUCUGCUGUUGAAACCCAUUUUAUUUUAAUCCUGAUCUGAGGAUAGAACAGGACUGAUCAGGAUGUUUUUAUCUCUAUUAGAACAAUUGUUUCCCAAGUCUGAACUUAACUUUGAAUUUAUCUUAACCAUGGAAAUGGUGAGAAUCACUUGAACUCAACAUGGUAUAUCUCUCAGUUGAGUUCUCAGAACAUAAGUCAUUUCAACAAUAUAUUUUAUUAUUUAUAAAAGGUGAAACAUUUUAAUAAUUAAAACCUUAUAGAACAAUGUAAAGAAUCUAGCCAGAAUUUUAUUUUCCCCCAAGUGCAUAAGCAAUUUAAGUAACACAUAGAAGUGUACCUUUUAUUCCUAUAGUGUUAUAUACCAAUGAGGAAACAGUAACUUUCUAAGGAUACAUUGUUGAAUUCUUUAUUAAUUCAAAACAUUUUAAGAAAGUCAGUGUAAUGCAUAUGCAUUUUACAAUAACAUCCAUAGGUUUCCACAAUCUAGUAAAAUGAAAACAGCUGUAUUUUGAUUUACUUUGAAAACUCAAACCUAUAGUUCGAGACUUCUGAAUAUUUUUACAUUACUGUCAUGCUCAAAUUCUGUUACAUGGUGAAAAUUCUAGCAUUUUCCAGAAGUAUAUUAUUGUACAUAGGUAAAAUGAUAAAAUUGAUUCUAGGAAGGGGGAAAAAAAAACCCAGAAAAACUUAAAUUGGAGGAAACAUAAUCUGGAUUAUCUAUUCAAUUUGUGAAUACCCACCGUUAUUCUGGCAUUGCAAAAUAACCAAGUGUGGUGCCUCUUAAGUUGCAUUCAUGCAUUCAAAACUUCUUUAUUGUCCACUGAUAAAUAUUGGUGGAGUACAAUAUAUGGAUAUAGAUUAAGUGUGAUGAACAUGGUAGUAAAAAAUUAUACACAUUCGAUAUGUAAUUUUACAAAACCAAACACAUUGAAUUCUUUUUAAUAUUUAGCAAACAUUUAAAAAUCAUAUACAAGAAAGGUGUUUAUGACAAAUCGGUUAAAGCUAGCGGGAAAUAGGUCUUUUACAUUAUUUCAAUAUUCAGUGUUCAUUGAUUAGUGGAGGGCAAUAUAAAAAUGCAAUAAGCAAAAUGGUUAGUUUAAAUUUAAAUUACCUCUUAUGACAAUUAGUAAGAUAAGAUCUUUAAUAUCCAAAGUAUGUGGAGGAUUAUUGUAAAUUGCGCAGACAGUUCAAGGGAAAAAUUCACUUUCACCUCUAUUAGGUGAAUAUUCAGGCUAAGACUUCUGGAGUUUUAUUUUUCCACUUCACUGUAUUUUCUUUAUAGCAUUUAUUAGUAAUCACUUAGUGGAACCUAAUAUUAGUGUUUAGAAUUUGUUUAGCUCAGUGUAAAUGUCCAGAAAAUUUACCUUCAAUAUAAUCUCUUUAAAAACGCAUUACUUUACAGUGGAGAAAUAUAAUAGAUGCUACCUCAGCUAAGUGAUCAAGGUUAACAUCAACAGCUAAGAGUAGCCUAAAGUUUGAGAAACUGUCACAGCUAAGACGAGUCCCGGUGAUGGCAUAUACCUUUGAUACCAUGUGAUGAGCAUGGCACUUUACCGUUGUGUUCUUUCAAAAACCAAAAACCUGUGUCUAGUCACGAGAAAAACAUCAGACGAAUCCCCAUAGAAGGACAUUCUACAAAAUACCAGUUUAUUUCUCAAAACUGUCAUCAAAAACAAGGAAAGUUGCAGAAACUGUCACAGCCAAGGGAAGCCUAAGGAAACAUGACAACUAAAUGUAAUGUGGUAUCCUGAAUGGGAUCCUGGGACAGAAAAAGGACAUUAGGUUAUAAACUAAGGAAAUCUGAAUGAAGUAUGAAUGUAAUGAUCAAUAUUGGCUCAUUAAUGCCCAUAGAUGUAUAUGGGACCUCUCUAUUUGGAGUUUUUCUGUAAAUCUAAAACUACUCUAAAAUAAAAGGUUUAAUGGACACAUUACUAUUUUAAAUUUUAUACAUUUUAUUUUUUUCUUAGAGUCAGGGUCUCACUUUGUUGCAUAGACAUGUCUGGAACUCCUGGGCUCAAGUGAUCCUCACGCCUUAGUCUCCCAAAGUGCUGGGAUUGUAUGCGUGAGCCACCGUGCCUGGCCCAUUACCACCUUUUAUUAAGUUUUUAUUUUCAUUGUAAAAUUGUUAAAGAAAAUCAUACCACCUUAAUAUUAAAAAGAGUGUUUUCUAAUUGUCAAUCUCUUAUAACUUAGUCUUAGCCCUAUAACUCAUUUAUAUAUUUAGCAAGUAAUUUGAUAUUAUUUCUGUCCUUGGGAAUGUUGUUUUAUUUCCUUUGGAAAUAAAACUUUCAAAUGAUUGAUCUUAUUUAAACUUUAAUUUUAACCUAUAAUUGUAUAUCCAUUUAUCAUCUAUCUAUCAUCUAUCUAUCAAUCAUCUAUCUAUCUAUGUCAUUGAAAGAAACAUUUCUAUAGAUUUGAGGUGAUGGUGAACUGAAAGUACUGAUUUGGGAUCACAUUAUUGAGAAAAGCAGUAACACUGAUAUAGUGUUCCAUCUUAAAACAUGAUUGUAUGUUUUGAUGAGUAGCUAAAUCAGAUGUUUAACGUAUGUUUUGGAAAAAAAUAGGGGAAAGUGCAUUAAAGUGACAUUUAAUACAAGUAUACAAUAACAAUUAUUGACGUGAUGCACUUUGAUAAAAUAAUAAUGUAUGCCACACUUUAUUCUUUCCACGUUUGUUUUAUUUAAUGCUCAUAGUUAUCCUGAUAAUUACGUAUUUUAUUUGUCAUUUGCAGAUGAGGAAAUGAACUCAGAGAAGAUAAAUGAUUUGCCCAAAGUCACAUGAGACAGAAAUAUAACUUGAAAUCAAAUUUGUAAUUUUAAGUUCCUGAUGUUUUUACACUAUGCUCCCUAAGUGAAUCUGUGGACAUACAUUUCCAUUAGUAACCUUACUCAUCUUAUAGCUUUUGUCAUAGGAAGAAAAUCAGUUCCCAAACUGGGACCUUCUAUCACCUAGGGCAACAUUUUGCCUUUUGUAGUGUUUUCAGUAGAGUCAAAGUCUUGAACAGCCUCUUGAAUUCAUCUGAAAAGAUGUUACUUGGGGCUGGAGAGGACUACACCUGUAAGAGUAAUAAUUUCAAAAAUACCUAUAAAUAAAUCAAAUCUGGGUAUUCAGAAAUAAUACUUGUCAUUGUGCACCAUCUUGUGUUGCAAGGAUAUUUUAAGCACUGCAGGGAAAAUCUGAAGCAAGUUUUGGGUUAUCAGUUUUAUUGAUAAAUAUUUGCAGUUGUAGCAAGUGAAGAAUUAAAAAUUUUUGCAGAUUGGAUAUUGUUUUUGCAGGAGAACAAACCCAUUGGUCAGAAAUUUGAAGAUGGAAAACACAAAAAUACAUGUUUGAAAAAUAUACUUAGAAAAUUAUGGUUGUAAACUGUCAAUGUAAACAGAUAGGCGAAAAUAUUUUUUGGAAAUAUCUUUACCAUCUUUCAAAAUAAUUAGGCAAUGUGUCAAGAUCAAAGUAUUCAAAAUACAUGUUUGAUAGGCUUCUAUCUAUAGGCAUUUUCUGUCUAAGACUUAAAAAUAUUAUUAUUAUAAUUAUUAUUAUUAUUUUGAGAUGGAGUCACUCUGUUGCCAAGGCUGGAGUGCAGUGGCAUGAUAUCAGCUCACUGCGACCUCUGCCUCCUGGGUUCAAGCGAUUCUCCUGCCUCAGCCUCUCAAGUAGCCGGGAUUAAAGGCACCCACCACCAUGCCCGGCUAAUUUUGUAUUUUUACUAGAGUCGGGGUUUCACCAUGUUGGCCAGUCUGGUCUCAAACUCCUGAGCUCAAGUGAUCCGCCCUCUUUGGCUUCCCAAAGUGCUGGGAUUACAGGCUUGAGCCACUGUGCCUGGCCAAGAAAUUUUAGGUGGUUUUCAAAUACGUUUUAUUUUUG